rnacentral:rRNA from 1 species
ACUCCUGCGGGAGGCAGCAGUGGGGAAUUUUGGACAAUGGGCGAAAGCCUGAUCCAGCAAUGCCGCGUGAGUGAAGAAGGCCUUCGGGUUGUAAAGCUCUUUUGUCAGGGAAGAAACGGUGAAAGCUAAUAUCUUUUGCUAAUGACGGUACCUGAAGAAUAAGCACCGGCUAACUACGUGCCAGCAGCCGCGGUAAUACGUAGGGUGCAAGCGUUAAUCGGAAUUACUGGGCGUAAAGCGUGCGCAGGCGGUUUUGUAAGUCUGAUGUGAAAUCCCCGGGCUCAACCUGGGAAUUGCAUUGGAGACUGCAAGGCUAGAAUCUGGCAGAGGGGGGUAGAAUUCCACGUGUAGUAGUGAAAUGCGUAGAUAUGUGGAGGAACACCGAUGGCGAAGGCAGCCCCCUGGGUCAAGAUUGACGCUCAUGCACGAAAGCGUGGGGAGCAAACAGGAUUAGAAACCCGGGUAGUCCCAUG